GAUGAACGCUGGCGGCGUGCCUAAUACAUGCAAGUCGAGCGAACGGACGAGAAGCUUGCUUCUCUGAUGUUAGCGGCGGACGGGUGAGUAACACGUGGAUAACCUACCUAUAAGACUGGGAUAACUUCGGGAAACCGGAGCUAAUACCGGAUAAUAUUUUGAACCGCAUGGUUCAAAAGUGAAAGACGGUCUUGCUGUCACUUAUAGAUGGAUCCGCGCUGCAUUAGCUAGUUGGUAAGGUAACGGCUUACCAAGGCAACGAUGCAUAGCCGACCUGAGAGGGUGAUCGGCCACACUGGAACUGAGACACGGUCCAGACGCCUACGGGAGGCAGCAGUAGGGAAUCGUCCGCAAUGGGCGAAAGCCUGACGGAGCAACGCCGCGUGAGUGAUGAAGGUCUUCGGAUCGUAAAACUCUGUUAUUAGGGAAGAACAUAUGUGUAAGUAACUGUGCGCAUAUUGACGGUACCUAAUCAGAAAGCCACGGCUAACUACGUG
rnacentral:rRNA from 1 species